UUUUAUUACGUGAUAUAAUAUUUGUUAAUAUUAUAUUAUUUUCAUUGAAUAACAUAAAUUGUAUAAUAUUAUAUUGUGAAUUGUUACAUAUAAUAUAUUAUAUAAUAUAUAUAUUAUAAAUAUAUUGUAUAAAUAAAAAAUAAUUUUAUAGAAAAAUGCUUUUUUAGAAAAUAAUAUAUUUCAUUAAAUUUAUUAUUAUAUAUUAUAUUGGAUUAAAUAUAAAGGUUUGAAUGUCUAAACAUUGGUAUUUUUAAUUUUUUUUU
rnacentral:lncRNA from 1 species